GCCGUUCGUUAGCGUCUCUCUUGACGUCACGAGGAGACCGUUAGCCCCCUAAGGACCGGGGACGACCAGAGGAGGCAGAAGUGGGUCUACAUGGAAAACAACAAAAAUGUCUGAAAAAUCCUAAGGAUUACACAACACAUUGCUAACAAGAAAAAGUCAAAGAAGAAAUAAAAAGGCAUCAAUUUCUUUCCACUAAAGGGAGGGCAGGAAGAAGGUGCCAGAGCAACUCUGGGAGUCGAGAGCUACAGAGACGCCAGGCAUGGAAGGUGCACGAAGCCUCCUAUAACUUGAGCAUUUCUUACUUUUUGUGUGCACUUCAAUUUACAAAAUUCAGUGUCAAGAGAGCCCAGAGAUAAGAGCAAUUCUGCAUGGGUGCACUAUGCUUUUAUGUGGGGGCUGAGGAGACUCCUCGUGGAUGCAGAUGUGCUCCUGCCUGGAUUCUGUGCAAAGAAGCUUGAGCCAGUCAGCACACCUCACUCCUGCACCAUGAUGUCAUCAUCCACAGAGCUCAGGGUCUUCUGGCUGGCUGUCGGUUCUGUCAAUGUGGGCAUGGCAUUUCCAUUGGAGCCUCUCUGUUCCUGGACACUGGCCGAGGGAAGCAUGGUAUACAGCAGAGUUUUUGCAUGCAUUUGGUGAUGUUCCUCCUUAGUCUCUUCCAACCCUUGCUUCUGUAGUGGGAUUGCCCUGUGGAGGUACCUUAGGAAGAUGAGCUCUCCUGGGCUCAGGAUUAUGCAGGGAAGUUAGGCUGUGAGGGCGUGUGUCCCUGUUGAGGAAGCUGAGAGGAAUAACAGGCAUGCUGGCAAUUCCAGCAGCCUUCUGCAAGGACUGCUUGGCUGCCUCAUGCUGCAGCUACUCGUGGGGCAAGGGAAGAGCAGGCUUACUAGAAUACUUCCAGGGCAGAGCCAGGGAGGAUAUGCGGGGCCCAGGUGAUGCACAGGCUUCACCUGGAACCCAAAGCCUGCCCCUGGGUUCUCUGGUGCUCCAGUAUGAGGUACGUGGCCAUCAUGUUGUCCUUGAAUCUUCAACGUGGUACGGACACUCAGGUACUAUAGGGAUGGUAACCCAUGUCCACCAUGAUUUUCAAAAUUGUGGGAUCUGGGAGUUAGAAGAGUGCCUCACUCGAAGGACUGGGUGUGAAGCUUCCUCUCCCUGGCUCAGCCAUGGGUACUCCAUUAUCUGCUCUAAGUUGGGCCUCUGUGUGGGGUUCACCGUCAAGAUCUCAUUGAUGAGGCUCUGUGCUCCCUCAGAAACAUGUGGGGGAAUGUCAUACAUUCCCUACGUGAUCAGCUUCUUCAGCUGCUUAUUGCUGGUUGCCACAAAUGGGCAUCUCCCUGUGAGCAUAAAAUAGAGAAUGACUUCCAGGCUCCAGAUUUCUGGGGCGUGGGGGGAGGCAUUGAAUUCCUUCCAAUGGACAACUUUAGAGGCAACUUAGAGGAGAGUACCCCAGAACCUGUUCAGCUUCUUCCCAGCUGUGAAUCUUGUGCUCAGGCCAAAGUCGAUGAGUUUGACGUUGCUGCUGGCAUCCACCACCACGUUCUCUGGCUUCAAAUCAAGGUGCAUGAUACCCAUCUUGUGGCAGUACUGCACCACAUGCACGAUCCACCUGAACAGUCUGUGGGCUCCUCCUUCCGCAUGACAUCAGGUUCCUGGAUGAGGUCCCAUAGCUGUCCCCCCUCUGCAUGUUCCAUGAUAAGGUAGAUAUAUUCGAUGGUCUCAAUGACCUAGAAGAGCUGGAUCAUGUUCUGGUGGUCCAAGGCUGCCAUCAUCACCAGUUCAGAAAGAAAGGGGAAGUUCCAGACCUCUUUUGCCAAAACCUUCAACCACAACCUCUAUCACCUGGGCAAAGCCUCCCUCCUCAAUGUCCUGCAGGACCAUAUAAUGGUCCGUGAGGUGGGCUCAUAGCAGGAGCCUUGCCCCUAAGGCACUACACUGCUCUGACUACGCUCUCUAUGAAUCUUAAGCUGGAAUGAGGAUGCUAGCUAAAAUAAUAAUAAUAAUAAACCAAAACAAAAAAACAAAAAGCAAAAGCAAAAAAAAUAUAUAUAUAUUUUAAAAACCCAAAUCAAAAACCAAUAUCCAAAGACCACAACUACCAGCCACCAACCACCACCAAAUGGGCUAACUAUCUGGGAGUCUGACAGGUCACCACCAAGAGCUUCCUGUACUUAUAGACAAAAGACCCAGCUGCAGCUACCCUCUUAAAUAACUACUGUUUGAAAUUCCCUCACAAUGGCUCCUUCUGAGCUCAAAGCACGAAAUGACCCAGUCAACCCUGGGCAUGACUCUCAGUGGUCAUCUCACUUUGGGGCUUCUAAGAACUUUUCCACUUUCAUGACAAGAAGAAAAAACUCUGGAAGAUUUUUUGCUUUAGUACAUUAUGGUGACCCAUAUUUACUUGUUUAGAAAUUAAAAUUUGUAGGAUACUUCAGCAGUCUUCUCAUUUCAAGUCUGAAAAUCCGUAAUAUCUUUGUGGCUUUGAAAAACCUCAUCAUAGCUACACUCAAGGUUUCUGCUUCUUUGCUGCCCUGAACUGAACAGUUUUCCUCCCCUGGGCCCUUGCCCCAUGAUAGACUGACUGCCUCACCUUGGGCAGAGCAGUAGAGUCAGCUAUCUAUGAACUGAGACCUCUGGAACUGUUAGUCCUAGAGAAGCUUUUUCUCUUCCAAGUGGGAUCCGGGAGUUUGAAGAGUGCCUCACUUGUUCUUGUUGGGUGUUUUGCUCACAGAGACAAAAGAAAGCUAAUUAAAACACAGCGCCCACCUUGACAAAUGGACGUGUGUGGGGGG